UGCAGGCAGACAAUCUAGCAGGGAAGUAGUUAACCAGGAUAAUAACAGAAUAUUGGAUGUGUUCAGAAGUCUGGAGCAGGGAGUGGCUGAAAUCAGAGUUGUGGUGUACAGACUUUGAAUGUGGAACUAAACCCAAGAAGCAAUGAGAAUUCAGUAAAACAGCAUGAUACUUGAACACAGGAGAUGAAGAGUGGCAAAAGAUCUUUUACACCAGCAUUCAUUGAUGUCAGUUGGUUUCAUUCACCCUUAAUUAAAGAGGAUAUAUAAACAAGUUCUGGGCAGUAUGUGACAUAUGCUCCUGAGGAAGCUGGCAGCUACUAAGACCAGCGAAACGCGUUGAGCAUUUUUACGGACCACUGGCACUGCGCCCACUGCUACUUCGCAUUCCAUCUGGCAGCAAUUGGACUUUUUCAGCUCCCAUUGGAUCCUCAUAAGUGUUCCUUUUCUGGAAACCCGGGACAAUCCCCAACUACUAUUGGAUCUCCGAUUGCAAUUGAGACCCCUGGGGACCGCUCAUAAAAGAACGGGUAAUAUUCACACUUAAAUUACUGAGGACUGUUUGGAAAAUUAAGCCCUAGCCAGAAGCGAUUACAAUCACCUAUGAUGGGGAUAUAAGUGGUCCAAUCACAUCGCUGUAACGGACUCCAUCAAGUCGGAAACUUGUGUUUAUUCUUACGAUAGAUUAUCCUCUUGAAG